CGUAAUCUACCCUGUAGAUCCGGGCUUUUGUAGAUUGCAUAGCUUUCAGAAGCUCGUAUUUACAGGUACCUUGCGA
rnacentral:pre_miRNA from 1 species